GACGAACGCUGGCGGCGUGCUUAACACAUGCAAGUCGAACGGAAAGGCCCUGCUUUUGUGGGGUGCUCGAGUGGCGAACGGGUGAGUAACACGUGAGUAACCUGCCCUUGACUUUGGGAUAACUUCAGGAAACUGGGGCUAAUACCGGAUAGGAGCUCCUGCUGCAUGGUGGGGGUUGGAAAGUUUCGGCGGUUGGGGAUGGACUCGCGGCUUAUCAGCUUGUUGGUGGGGUAGUGGCUUACCAAGGCUUUGACGGGUAGCCGGCCUGAGAGGGUGACCGGCCCCAUUGGGACUGAGAUACGGCCCAGACUCCUACGGGGGGCAGCAGGGGGGAAUAUUGCACAAUGGGCGGAAGCCUGAUGCAGCAACGCCGCGUGCGGGAAGACGGCCUUCGGGUUGUAAACCGCUUUCGCCUGUGACGAAGCGUGAGUGACGGUAAUGGGUAAAGAAGCACCGGCUAACUACGUG
rnacentral:rRNA from 1 species